CGCGUGCGUGUGUGUGUUCCGACGUGAUGCUGCGGAAACGAAAGUGAAGCUGUGACCGUGUGCGUGCUUCUGAUGAGACCAAAACCAGAACCAGAGAGAGCGAUGGAAAGCGUCAUACACAGAAGGGAGCGGGGUUGAAUCGCAAACAAACGGCAAACGGGCCUACCCCGGGCUCUAAAGCAUCCGGUAGCGAUGAUGGUGCAACGCAACAGCGCAGGCUGCCGAUUGCCGAUGGAAGGCACCGCGACAGUUCAUCUCCAGCACCACCGGAUGUCAUCAGCAGCAGCAGCAGCAGCAGCAGCACCAGCAGCAUCAUCCGGUGUCCGGAGUCCGUAGCCAUCAUGCCAUAGCCAGAAGUCGUACGGGACCGGAACGUUCCGCGCUACUGACCCUGUUCCCUGUAUCAUCGUCACCAACGGCAACAGAACGUGACAUCAAGCUAGCGCCUCCUGUUUCGCUCAAUCCCAACAAAGCAUGUUUAUCUCGCUUUUAGAGGCAGAAAUGAGGAAUGGAAACAAUAGAAGCCACGACACGAGUCAAGACCACAGCAGAAAAGCAGCAUUUUCUUUAAACAGCCUCCAGAGGAAAUGACCACGCAGGAAUCUUCGACAGCCAUCAAUUGAAACAAAAUAAAAGAGAGAAAC